rnacentral:misc_RNA from 1 species
UUUUUUUAGAUAAUUCGUUAAUUCUUUUAAAUCAAUAACAUGCUUAUUAUUUUUUUCUACAUGUUUUCAGAUUGGUAUAAUUAAUGACGCUACUAUCCUUGAAGAUCAAUCUAUAUUAAGGAAGAUAGAGAAUUUUGAGUGUAAUCUGCAAUUGGUUUCGAAAGAAAUUAAAUACCAUAAUUCGUGCCGGAAAAAGUUUGCUUCUGCCGCAAGAAGUGUAGUGAAGAAACGAGAUGAGGAACGCCAAUCUAAAUGGCUUUCAAACAAGAACAUUCGUGAAAAAGCUCAGCAAAACCUUUUUGCAUUUUUGGAAGAGAAACUCGUUAAGGAAGAAGAGGUACAUUGUGCAAGUGAUAUUACAAAACACUUUCAAAUGCUGCUAUCCGAACAUGGAUUAGAUUAUGUUAGCGGAGGAAGAGUACGCAAAUGUGAAGUUUUAGCAAAAUUGAUGAGCCAUUUUGGUGAUAAAUUAAAAUUCGUGAACCAUUCCGACAAAGGUGUUGGGCAAAUUAUGUUCAAAUCCGACUUAGGAGUUGAAAAAGCUUUACUGGCAACUUUUGAUACGGAUAUCAGUUCAUGUUAAAAGGUAAAAGAGAUCGCUUUCAUGCUUCGUAAUUUGAUAUUGGAAACGCCUCGCAAAGUUUUGCCGAAAAACGUUACUAUUCUUUCCGGAGAAGUUAAAGCACCGAGUCUCCUUAGAACUUUUCAUGAAUGCUUGGUAGCAGGUAAACUUUAUUUUCAAAAAGAAACGUGAAUCGAAUUGGUGUGUACUAAUGGAUGACACUAUUUUUGCCGUCACCAAUGGGUUGUAUGAGCAAUCAAAGGAACUCAUGCUGGGAAUGUACUUAAAAACUACUACAGGUAAACGUGAAGUAAUUGACGUAAUGAAUCGUUUCGGGCAUUAAGUGAGCUACAAUUUUGUUGAAGAUUUGGAAACAGAGCUGGCUUUUGGUGCUGUUGAGGAAUCGAAAUUAUUACCUGAUAGUUUACAUCGCCGACCUGACCUCAACACUACAGUUGCAUUUGAUAAUUUCGACCUUUUCGUCGAAACGCUUACGGGAAAAGAUACCUUGCAUGACACCGUUAGAAUCGUCACACAAGAUAUUCCUCCUGAUGGUGACGACUUUCUUCCUUUGACUGAAUCGGAAGACGAAGAUGACGUAACCGUGGGAACAGGGAAGCGACGACGAGCAUUCAUAACAAGAGAUGUCUCGAUUGAACCUUACUACAAAAAGGCAAGAAUGUUGUAUGAGCCCAUGCUGGCUAUAACAGACAGAAGGAGGUCAAUUCCAGCACCUGGAUCUUUGAAUACUGCACUUGAUCUCGACUUCAUAUGGAUGGUAUUAUUAUGCCACAGCCUGCCUAAUACUCCAAUGUGGACUGGAUGGAACUCCCGGAUUGUCAAAGAUGUCCUACCGUUACAAAGAGUAUGCUAUUUGCCGGCAAUAGAUGCAUCACCAACUCGAGCGGAUGUGGUAAAAAAGACAAUGGAAAGAUCUGUUCGCAUCUUGAAGGAGUGUAACCAGAAAUAUAUCUCCGUUACUUACGACCUCGCCAUAGCAAAACAAGUGCUAUGUAUCCAGUCCAUGGAAAAGCCGAAAUUUAAUAACCUUUUUAUUCAGCUAGGAUCUUUCCACAUUUUCCUCUCGUUUUUUAAAGCAGUAGGCAAAUUCAUUGCUGAGUCUGGUGCUCCAUAUGCACUAACAGAAAGCGGAGUACUGGCUGCGUGAUCACUUAACGGUUUUUUGAUUGGAACCAAUUUUUGUCGGUGCAAUCGCAUCCACCCACUUCUUGCGGUUUCACUAGAGAUGCUUUAUUUUCGUGCAUUCGUGAAAAAGGAAGACAAUCCAUCAAUGUUAGAUAGCCUGCCGAGUUUGUUGCGUGCUUUAAAAAUCGGAGAUAAGGAUCCCUGUGGAGACAACGUUUUCCAUCAGUCCAUUCCAAUUGAACUCUUGGAAAUUCACCAAAGAUACAAAUCUUACAGGAAAAUUACCUUAAAUGGUGGGCAUGGUGCCACUGCAAAAUAUUAUUUGAUUUAUAUUGAGCUGAUAGGACUGUACCAUCGUUUUUCUCGAUCCAUAAGGAUGGGAGAUUAUCGUCUCUAUAUUCACUUUCUACCAGAAAUAUUAAAGAUUUUUUUUGCAUUCAUCCAUCAAAAUUAUGCUCGAUGGGGCGUCAGGUUUCAUGAUAAUAUGUUGCGAAUGGAGGACACCUAUCCGGGCAUAACAGAGAACUUCGAAAGGGGGAUCAUUUCCAUUUGAAGGACCAGCAAAUCCUUUUCACGGACACCAAUUGAUCUAAUUCUGGAACAAACCAUAAAUGCUGAAGCGGCAAGUGCUUCACGCGGAAAAUAGAUCUACGCUAUUUAUUUUAAAAUGCGCUAUUAGUGUUAUGCUAUUUCUUUCUUUAAAAGGGAUUAUUAACUUUACUAAUUUGAGCUCUGCAAUACAGCGUUGAUGUAUUACCCACUU